AGCAGUAGCAGCAGAAGCUAGUGCUUUGAAUUAGUAGGUGUUGGUAGUCUCGAGUGAGCAACAAAGCUUGCAAAGCUAGACUAUUGAUCCAGAUGCAGCUAGAACUACAGAAAGACAUCAAAAAGCUCCUAAAAGGCCUAUUCGAAUUAGUGCUUGGAAGCUUGCAAAGCUAGACUCCAAUGGUGCCAUGAGAGCGGCAAAGCUUGCCAAACUAGACUCCUUAAGUAAAUUUUUGGAUGUGUAUUGCUAGGAGAGUAGUAUUAGAUGUACUCCUUUUGUAGAUGAAAGAUUACUUUGCACAAUCUACUUGUUGCAUGAUUUGGAUUAUAACAAUUUUUUCUAUAUAUUGAUCAGCUACUCUUAAUUUGA